UACGAAGGGGGCUAGCGUUGCUCGGAAUCACUGGGCGUAAAGCGCACGUAGGCGGCCUCUUAAGUCAGGGGUGAAAUCCUGGAGCUCAACUCCAGAACUGCCUUUGAUACUGAGAGCCUUGAGUCCGGAAGAGGUAAGUGGAACUGCGAGUGUAGAGGUGAAAUUCGUAGAUAUUCGCAAGAACACCAGUGGCGAAGGCGGCUUACUGGUCCGGUACUGACGCUGAGGUGCGAAAGCGUGGGGAGCAAACAGG
rnacentral:rRNA from 1 species